rnacentral:rRNA from 1 species
ACUUACCAGGUCAAGACAUGGGCGUGAUUGACAGGCUAAUGACUUUUCUCGAUUCCAUGGAUGGUGGUGCAUGGUCGCACUUAGUUGGUGCAGUGAUUUGUCAGGUUUAUUCCGGUAACGAACGAGACCUCGGCCUUGUAAAUAGCUAUGCUGCUUACAGGGACAUUGGCGGCUACGCCAAGGAAGCUCGAGGCAAUUGCAGAUCUGGAAUGCCCUUAGAUGUCCUGGGUCGCACGCGUGCUACAAUGACGCCACGAACGAGCUUGCGUGAUGAAAGUUACGCAUAAUCAGCAGUCGGCGUCUUAAGGGAUAGUCUCUUGUAACUGUGGGACUCCAACUAGGAAUGUCUCGUAAGCACAAGUCAACAUCUUGUGUUGAUUACGUCCCUGCUCUUUGUACACACCGCCCGUCGCUCCUACCGAUCGAAUAUUUAGGUGAAUUUGAUGGACGUAAGGAAGUCAAAUAAACCUGAGCACUAGAGGAAGGAGAAGUCGAACAGA